rnacentral:rRNA from 2 species
AAUCCAUAGGUUAAUGAGGCGAACCGGGGGAACUGAAACAUCUAAGUACCCCGAGGAAAAGAAAUCAACCGAGAUUCCCCCAGUAGCGGCGAGCGAACGGGGAGGAGCCCAGAGCCUGAAUCAGCAUGUGUGUUAGUGGAAGCGUCUGGAAAGGCGCGCGAUACAGGGUGACAGCCCCGUACACAAAAGCGCAUGUGCUGUGAGCUCGAUGAGUAGGGCGGGACACGUGGUAUCCUGUCUGAAUAUGGGGGGACCAUCCUCCAAGGCUAAAUACUCCUGACUGACCGAUAGUGAACCAGUACCGUGAGGGAAAGGCGAAAAGAACCCCGGCGAGGGGAGUGAAAAAGAACCUGAAACCGUGUACGUACAAGCAGUGGGAGCACCCUUUGGGGUGU